rnacentral:misc_RNA from 1 species
UACUCUCACACUUCCGAUCCUUGGAUUGGGAGCGGUGGACUUGGGUGUUGCUGCUUUACUGUGGCUCACCUUAAAUGCAUUAGUGCAACUCUUGGUUGGACAUAGUACGGCGUGAUAAGUAUCUUCGCCGGCACCUCGCAAGAGGGUGGCUGAUCAGAGCUCUGUGCUCUCCAACCGUCUUCGGACAACCAUUGACA